rnacentral:rRNA from 1 species
GGCCAGACUCCUACGGGAGGCAGCAGUGGGGAAUAUUGCACAAUGGGGGGAACCCUGAUGCAGCGACGCCGCGUGAGUGAAGAAGUAUUUCGGUAUGUAAAGCUCUAUCAGCAGGGAAGAAAAUGACGGUACCUGAAGAAGAAGCCCCGGCUAACUACGUGCCAGCAGCCGCGGUAAUACGUAGGGGGCAAGCGUUAUCCGGAUUUACUGGGUGUAAAGGGGGCGCAGACGGCGAUGCAAGCCAGGAGUGAAAGCCCGGGGCCCAACCCCGGGACUGCUCUUGGAACUGCGUGGCUGGAGUGCAGGAGGGGCAGGCGGAAUUCCUGGUGUAGCGGUGAAAUGCGUAGAUAUCAGGAGGAACACCGGUGGCGAAGGCGGCCUGCUGGACUGCAACUGACGUUGAGGCCCGAAAGCGUGGGGAGCAAACAGGAUUAGAUACCCGAGUAAG